rnacentral:rRNA from 1 species
UACGUAGGGGGCAAGCGUUGUCCGGAUUCAUUGGGCGUAAAGAGCGUGUAGGCGGCCAGGUAGGUCGGUUGUGAAAACUGGAGGCUCAACCUUCAGAGGUCGACCGAAACCAUCUGGCUAGAGUCCGGGAGAGGAGAGUGGAAUUCCUGGUGUAGCGGUGAAAUUCGUAGAUAUCAAGCGGAACACCGGUGGCGAAGGCGGCCUUCUGGACAGUGACUGACGCUGAGACGCGAAAGCGUGGG